rnacentral:piRNA from 1 species
UAGAAUGCAUGGAAGACUUGGUUCUUGU